ACCCGCACAAGCAGCGGAGCGUGUGGUUUAAUUCGUUGCUACACGAAGAACCUUACCUGGGUUUGACAUAUAGGUUGUAGGGAACUGAAAGGGACCGACCUUCGGGAGCCUAUACAGGUGUUGCAUGGCUGUCGUCAGCUCGUGUCGUGAGGUGUUCGGUUAAGUCCGCUAACGAGCGCAACCCUCGUCGUAUGUUAUAUGUGUCAUACGAGACUGCCGGUAAAAGCCGGAGGAAGGUGAGGAUGAUGUCAAGUCAGCAUGACCUUUAUAUCCAGGGCUACACACACGCUACAAUGGUCUGUACAAUGGGUAGCCAAGCCGCGAGGCGGAGCCAAUCCUGAAAGCAGGCCUCAGUUCAGAUUGCAGUCUGCAACUCGACUGCAUGAAGCCGGAGUUGCUAGUAACCGCAGGUCAGCAAUACUGCGGUGAAUACGUUCCCGGGUCUU
rnacentral:rRNA from 1 species